CGUUUUUAGAGACAUCCCGAGAGUCACUCGCGCGCAUCUGCUGUGGAGCCGCAGCGGGAGCGCCGACCGGCGUUGCACGGAGCAGCUCCGCGCUUCCACGGGAGAAUGAGCUCGUUCACCGCACCCUGCUGCGCGGCGCCGCGCUCCAGCGCUCCGGUCCACUCACUCGCCUUAGACUAGUAGCCGAGCGCAAACUGCGCUGUCGCUUCUUUCCCUGCCUUCCCACGUCUCCCUCCCUCCAGGAGUGCGAUCAUGCCGUGCGACUCGUGAGCCAGCCAAGACCAUGGAUGCGGUGGACGCGCAGAGCCGGAGAGGUGAGCAGUUCAACAACAACGGCAGCGUGGAGGAGAGGUACCGCGCUCUGGCGUACGACACUGCGCUCAGCACCCUGCUCGCCGUGCUCGUCUACGUGCUCCUCAAAGUCACUUUGGACGGGAUCCGGCAGUGGCGCGCCAGGGUCUCCGUGCUCGUGGUGGGCUCCGGUCCCGUCGGGCUCACGGCCGCCCUGGUCGCUGUCCGCUCCGGCAAGGUGCUGAAGCUGACCGUGCUGGACGAGCGCUCCAGGACGGCUCUGCUCUGCAGACCCCAGCAGAUCGCCCUGGACCCCCGCAGCGUUCAGUUCCUCCUGGGGCUCGGCGUGGAUUUCGAUAACAUGGAAGGGUGCUGGCACAGCGAGCACUUCUUCACCAAGAUCGGCGUUUUCCAGGAGUAUCUGCUGAGCAUCCUGGAGCAGAAGAAGCAGAGAGUCGAUGUUAAAGUACACCUGGGCACCAAGUUCACAGAUGACUACUUGAGGAGGAUCCCUGCGCCGGACUGGCCACGCAUUAUUGUGGUGGCUGAUGGCUCCUGCGGCGACUCCUGCUCUGUGCUGGGAAUCAGCUCUGACUACAUUGUGGAGUCUUGCAACGCCUAUGGAGCCAAUGCCACCAUCGAGAGGCUCGACCAAAGACAGGUCCCCACACCUGAGAUAAGGGCUCACAGUUUGUAUUUUGACCUGUCUGCCUACGGAGUUGAUGCCGUCAAAGAGACCCGCAGUUCAGCACAGGCCACCGUCAAGCCCGGGUUCCACCUGAAGAUAUACGGGACAUUCCGCAACCGCUACAUGGCCUUGGUUUGCCCAGCAUCGGAUUCCAAGAUGGUUCGCUUCUUGCGGCACACCGCCAACUCCUCAGUCAUGAAGAACAUCUUUCACCAGUCUUUCAACGCCUACAAGACGGACAUCGAGCCGCGGCUGAACGACCUCACGCUGCAUCACAUGCAGUGCAGUCGCAAGCUGUUCGAAAUCAUGCUGUCGCACCGGCGGGUCAGCGCCGCCUACAUCGAGGGUGACAACGUGGCAGUGACCGUUGAGGGUGAGGCUGCGCGUGUCUUGAACUUUGAUACAGGCUGCGGGGUCAACCUUGGCUUGAGGGGCCUGGAAUCACUGGGGACUUUCAUCUACAAGACGGCCACGGCUCUAGACCAGAACGACAUCUUCGAGGCCCUUUCGGCCAAGAUCCAGCACUCCAAACAGGUGGCGGAAACGUUCAGGCAAACGGGACUGGCCUCGACCAUGUUCGAGUGACUGAGCCGGAAAUGAAGGGUCACGGCGGAGAUGACCGCGCAGAGUAAAUAGCGCUGCAGUAAUCGAAGCGACGCUGAUGGACCCGAGAAAAACGGACACGCGGCGGGGAGUACGGGUAAGACGAACGAGGGAAAGCGGAACAGAAGAGCCGUGUGUCUAAAAUGAAUAUACAUUUGUAUGUCUCACUGAUUUUUGAAGCAUGUCUUAUGCGAUCAGUUCAUAUGUGACUUGGGGAAAGUGAAGACACGAAUACAGCAAAAGAAGAUGGAUUCACCAUGCUAAGUAUGUGCUAGAAAUGACUUGUUCCGCACGCGAACUCUCUCUAGAUGUAUCGGACCCUGUGCGUUGUCAUGGUGUUACCCCGAGGCCUGGCAAACCUUUUCACUUACUUUACUGUGACUGUCUGGAAAUGAUUUUCUUGUGAUACUGCUUUUUUUAUGGAGUGAUUUGAGAGUACAACACUUUCUGGAAUAAUGGGCACACUGAUAAAUGUCAAAUGUGAAUGCUGCUGAAUCUCGGUAGACCUGCGCAUUACUAAUCAUGCAGCCUCGCAAUACAGCAUAACGUUGAGUUUUUUGUUCUUUAUUCUCCAGCCGGCCUUUGCUCGGAAACCACACUAUCGGCAUUUGCGACGAAGAGCUAAAUGAUUGCUUGAGAGCAGAAUUAACUGUUUGUCUGUCUUCGACUUGAUUAUUACAGCAAUGUGUUACCGUGUCUGACGUAUUUAUAUCACGGUGGUCUUUCUCCUUUGAAAAGCCCGCAGCAGCAGCAGCCUCCACUGAAGUCUAUUGACUAUAUGUGAGUGAAUAUGUGCAUCUGAGUGACACUGGUGUUUGCUGACUGUACUGGUGACCCCAGCAGAGACACACUAAUGGAAAAAUGUGCUAUUAGGUGGAUUAGGGUCAUCGGCCUCCUGGAAAGUGCCUCACAGAUCAAAGCAUAAAAGCUAUGUUAUUGUACACUUAAAGAAUGUAUUAAUCUUUCUACCAGCUCAAGUGUUUUAUAUCAAUAUCUGUGCAUUGCCCUGACUGAAAAAUGCUCGUGACUUGAACUUUUCUUGCUCUCCUCUCAAGAAUGAUUCAAUGUAUAGGGGCAGCAUAUACAUUUCUUACAAAGAUAGACAAUAAAACAAGUUACUGUCUUUUAAACGUCA
ensembl:lncRNA